rnacentral:lncRNA from 1 species
CAGGACUAUCACACUGGGGACCGGCUUCUCUGCUCUCCCUUUAUAGGGGUCGGGGGAAUGAAGGGGCAAGGGUCUUCCGAAGAAAGCGAGAAAGGAACAGGCGCCUUCAAAAGCCCACUUGGCAUGGGUUACAGUAAGAGGUACCUCCAGACCCGGGCAUCCGCUGGAAACAGGGGUGGGUAGGGUUGUGUCAUCUAAAGGCGCAGCCUCAACCAGAAGACUGGAAGUCAACCAGGAGCUGGGAGUAGUGUCACCCAGGGUGGGGGCUCCUAUGAGCAUCACUUUACAAAGCCAGGAGGGACGGAAGUGCGAGGGGGCAGAGUCUUGGAAACAGGUCCUGGGCCAACUGCAACAGAAUAUACCCGCCGCGUGUAGGGGAAGGGGGCGCCAGGGAGAGGGCGCAGUCUCUGAAUCUUUCCACGGGGUCCAUCCUAGGGCCCCUCCCGGUUCAACGGUCUCCUAACCUGUAGUCACCCACAAGAGCGUGCCCUUUCUGCCCGCUCUUCCUAGCAUUGCUCCCUGCUUGGCUGAGCACUGCGGAGUUUCACGCCUCUAAACCCCGCCUCUUCUUGCAACCUGUGUUGGCCUCAUCUACCCAGCAACUGUCGACGUCACACGACCUGGGCCUCCCUGAAUGGGAGAUAUUUACUAGACAAUCCCGCCUACUGUUCUGAGGUUUCCCCUCCACGUGCCGCUUCAGAGCCAGGCGAGCCAGGAAGGACCAGCGGGCGAGGUGGAAGUCUGCAUUAUCACGAGGAGCUUGGAAAGGAGGUAACACACUCAAGGCAAAUUUCAAGUAACUCAUCCUAGAGGCAGCUGCCUACUCUGCAGCUGUGGUUCUCCACCACAGAGAGAAGAAAAGGGAGGGAGAUGGAGUGUGCAGGUCUGAGAAGGCUUUCAUUCUGGAGCAUCUGCAGGAGCCUGCACCAUGGCCCAGUAGCACCCCUUUUUCUCCAUGAGCUGCUGGUGGGUUCCCCCCUCCCGGAUAGCGCCUCCUUCCAGAAAGAGGAUGUG